CUUCGGAGGAGCGUAGCAUAUCAUGGAGAGUUUGAUCCUGGCUCAGAACGAACGCUGGCGGCGCGUUUUAAG
rnacentral:rRNA from 1 species